rnacentral:rRNA from 1 species
AUUGAACGCUGGCGGCAUGCCUUACACAUGCAAGUCGAACGGCAGCACGGACUUCGGUCUGGUGGCGAGUGGCGAACGGGUGAGUAAUACAUCGGAACGUACCCAGUAAUGGGGGAUAACUAUCCGAAAGGAUAGCUAAUACCGCAUACGCCCUACGGGGGAAAGAGGGGGAACGCAAGACCUCUUGUUAUUGGAGCGGCCGAUGGCUGAUUAGCUAGUUGGUAGGGUAAAGGCUUACCAAGGCAACGAUCAGUAGCGGGUCUUAGAGGAGGAGCCGGCACGCUGGAACUGAGACACGGUCCAGACUCCUACGGGAGGCAGCAGUGGGGAAUCUUGGACAAUGGGCGCAAGCCUGAUCCAGCAAUGCCGCGUGCGUGAAGAAGGCCUUCGGGUUGUAAAGCGCUUUUGUCAGGGAGCAAAGCCUUGUGGCUAAUACCCACCGGGGAUGAGAGUACCUGAAGAAUAAGGACCGGCUAACUACGUGCCAGCAGCCGCCGUAACAC